rnacentral:rRNA from 1 species
CACGUAGGCGGACUCUUAAGUCGGGGGUGAAAUCCUGGAGCUCAACUCCAGAACUGCCUUCGAUACUGGGAGCCUUCGAGUUCGGGAGAGGUGAGUGGAACUGCGAGUGUAGAGGUGAAAUUCGUAGAUAUUCGCAAGAACACCAGUGGCGAAGGCGGCUCACUGGCCCGAUACUGACGCUGAGGUGUGAAAGCGUGGGGAGCAAACA